AUAUUGUUGUUGGUGGUAGAGUUAAGAUUUGGUCCCGGGAAUUGCCCGUUAAUAAGAAUACCCUUUACUGGCACUCCCAAGGGAGCAAUGGUGCCAUAGGUGACGUUCCAUUCGAAAAAAAGGGUGGGAUCUCCGCCCUGGACCAUAAGCAUUGAUCCUGCCAAGAGAAAUAGCAUCGAUAUUAACAUUAAUCGAGCCAUCUCUUACCCUUUUUUUUCGCCCGACAGUAAUUUAUUAAUUAUCCCCUUCUAGAGGAAGAGGAAGAUGGUUUGCUUGAGUUGAUUUUGAAUUGCAUGCAUACCUCUCCUUUUAUACCACACAACCUCUUCAAUUCUUCCAUCUUAAUCCCUUAGAAUACGCUCAUCCAUUCAUUUAUUUCCUUGCUUUUAGCAAAUACUGUUUUUAACACUAAUCAUUUUGAGUUUAUCAUUCUCUUCUUUUCCAUCAAGGAUUUGCACAUCCACUGUGCUGAUGGCUAACCUUUUUUUUAGGACGAUGGUUACUCUGAUGAGAGUUCUUUUAGUUAUUUUCUUAAUUUAAAUAUAUAAAUAUGAAAUGUAUUAAAGUAACAUUAACCUCCAUUAUUAUAUAAUCAUUAUAGACAGUUGAUAUUAAGUGAAACUUCAUAUAUAAUUAAAUUAUGACCCACCAUAAAAGUUCAAAUUGAAUAAAUAAUAUGAAAAGAAAUUUAUAACUAAUUUCAUUUUUUUAGAGAUUAUAACAUACUAAUAACAUCAUAUAUCCAUUUGUGGUAUUCUAUGAGAGUAAUAUAGAUAAAAUUAAAACAUUGUAGAGGGUUCAGAGGGAGCUUUAUAAAUAAGUGAACAUGAUAUAUCGAAAGAAGGCAGAGAAGAAUACUAGAGCUGAUCCUAUAACAUUGAUCACAGCAACAAGUGAUGUUUGAUAAGCAAGAGAAAGGGAAUUGUAGUUGAUGAUAAGGCUAAACAACAACAACAACAAAAGUUGAAAGAAUUUUAGAGAGCUUUGAGAAUUAGAGUAUCAAAGUGCCAAAAAGUCACUCAACUAGUUGUGAUGGGCUCCUAUUUAUACUAGGUAUUUAAUAUGAGUAAUGAAAUUAGGUUUCAAUUGCAAUGGCAAUAUAUGGUUAAGACGGGAUGGUGAAUGGCCUUUUUGGUGAUGAUAAUGAUGAAUAUUGAAGAAAUGUUCACCAUAUUUUUGAAAUAAAGGAAAAACACUCAAUGUUAGAGGAAAAUGUUAAGAGGAAACUAUUUAAUUAUCUCCAUAUUUAAUCUACCAAGCCAAGUUCUCCGGAAAAUCUCAAGAGUGAAGACAACCCGAGAACUCUGUCGUAGGUUAUUUUCACUUCUUCUACUUUGGUGAAGCGGUAUCUUGUGAAACCUUUACCGCAGAACAUCUCUUAGAAUGCAAGACAAUGGAUGUUCUUGAACGAGAGUUGUUCAUGGUGUUGAAAGGUCAACAAAGGUAGGAAGCAACUUGUUAAAAAGGUUGAGCAAGUUGCACCGAAUGUUGAAAAGUUGAAUGGGAUAAUUGCAAUUUUGGUCCCUAAUUUUUUAGGCCAUUUGCAAGUUAGUCCCUGAACUUCAACUAUAAAUAGGCCUUUUCAUUUUUCAUUUCAACCAUCCCAACCAAUCUUUCUCUCUUAGUUUUCUCUCUUCUCUCAUUUGAGAAUUCUUAAGGAAUUCUAUUUGUUUGUAAUACUUUGAAGAUAGUAAAUUUAUCAUCUGGUGUUAGUGCCCGAGGACGUAGGUAUAAUUUACCGAACCUCGUUAAAACUCUUGUGUUCUUUCUUGUCCUAUUUUUCUUUCAAUAUUUGAGGGUAUAAUAGUAGUAUUUAAUUGUGCUAUUAAAUUACUAUAGAAGGGAUAUUCUGUCUAAGGAAAGACUUGGUAUUUAAGAGAUCCAUGUGAUCCACCUCUCUUUCCUGGGAAUUGAACUUUGUGUGAUUUUUUAGUACAAUAAUUUACACGCUUCCGACCCUAUUGGAACAACAAGUGGUAUCAGAGCCGGAGGUUAAUCGUAGUAUGCUCUGUGGUUGCAGUUUAAACUAAUCUUCCACAUCAGAAAAGAUUUCCUUAGGUAUAUUGAAAGAUUAUGGAGAAAACGGUCGGUGUAGGAGCUUCAACAUCGUCCAUGUGGACAAGACCGACAAUUGCAAAUGCAAGAUUGGCCGUGGAGAUCUUUGAUGGCACGGGCCAUUUUGGUAUGUGGCAAAGUGAGGUUCUAGAUGCCCUUUUUCAGCAGGGUCUAGACAUUGCCAUUGAUGAAGAGAAACCAGAUGAUGUACAGGAGAAAGAUUGGAAGGCGAUCAAUCGGUUGGCAUGUGGCACAAUUCGAUCAUGCCUUUCUCGAGAGCAGAGGUAUGCUUUUUCAAAGGAAACUUCUGCAAAUAAGUUGUGGGUGGCACUUGAAGAAAUUUUUUUGAAGAAAAACAGUCAAAAUAAGCUCCACUUGAAGAAAAGACUGUUUUGCUUCACAUACGUCCCAAGUACCACAAUGAAUUAUCACAUCACCAAAUUUAAUCAGUUAGUCACUGAUUUGCUGAAUAUGGAUGAGAUAUUCAAAGAUGAAGAUUUGGCUUUGAUGCUGUUGGGGUCACUUCCUGAGGAGUUUGAGUUCCUAGAAACUACUCUACUUCAUGGCAGGAGUGAUAUAUCUCUGAGCGAAGUCUGUGCGGCCUUAUACAGUUAUGAAUAGAGAAAGAAGGACAAACAGAAAAACUCAAUCAGAGAUACAGAAGCUUUAGUAGUCCGAGGUCGUUCAUACACUCGGAAGAAAACUCAAAAUGGGAGAUCAAAGUCAAAGUCCAGACUCGGGAAAGAUGAAUGUGCUUUUUGUCAUGAGAAAGGCCACUAGAAGAAAAAUUGUCCAAAGCUGAAGAAUAAGGGAAAAGCUGCUGUAGAUGCUUGUGUUGCUAAGCAUGAUACUAGUGACUCUGAACUAUCACUGGUUGCAUCAUCAUCGUCGUUCCAUUCAGAUGAGUGGAUAUUGGAUUCGGGUUGUACCUAUCAUAUGUCCCCUAAUCGGGAGUGGUUCUCUGAUUUAGUAGAACUAAAUGGAGGAGUUGUUUAUAUGGGCAAUGACAAUGCCUGUAAAACUGUUGGGAUAGGUUCAAUCCAAUUAAUGAAUCAAGAUGGAUCAACCAGAGUUCUGACUGAUGUUCGGUACGUGCCCAGUUUGAAGAAAAAUCUCAUCUCAUUGGGAGCCUUGGAAUCCAAUGGUUCAGUUGUUACUAUGAGAGAUGGGAUUUUGAAAGUGACAUAUGGCGCACUUGUGAUAUUGAAGGGCAUCAAGAAAAAUAACUUGUAUUACUACCAAGGUAGUACAGUUAUUGGAGCAGUCGCUACAGCUUCCGGUAACAAAGAAUUGGACUCAAUGCAGUUGUGGCAUAUGAAGUUGGGACAUGCCAGCGAAAAAUCCUUGCAAAUUCUGGCAAAGCAAGGAUUGUUGAAAGAUGCAAAGGCUUACAAAUUAAAAUUUUGCGAGCAUUGUGUUAUGGGAAAGCAAAAGAGAGUGAAAUUCGGUACUGCUAUCCAUAAUACAAAAGGUAUUUUGGAAUAUGUUCACUCAGAUGUGUGGGGGCCUUCCAAGACACCUUCAUUGGGAGGAAAACACUACUUUGUUACUUUUGUUGAUGACUAUUCCAGAAGAGUUUGGGUGUAUACCAUGAGAACUAAGGAUGAAGUGCUUAGAGUUUUUCUUAAAUGGAAAACUAUGAUCGAAAACCAGACUGGCAAGAAAAUCAAGCGGCUUAGGACGGACAAUGGAGGGGAAUAUAAAAGUGAUCCGUUCUUCGAUGUGUGCCAAGAGUAUGGUAUUGUUCGACACUUCACAGUUAGGGAUACACCACAGCAGAAUGGAUUGGCAGAGCGUAUGAAUCGAACAUUGCUGGAGAAAGUUCGAUGUAUGUUGUCUAAUGCUGGGUUGGGCAAGCAAUUUUGGGCUGAGGCUGUGACAUACGCUGGCCAUCUUGUUAAUCGUUUGCCAUCAUCUGCAUUAGAAAGAAAAACUCCUAUGGAGGUAUGGUCUGGAAAACCGGCUACAGAUUAUGAUUCCUUACAUGUGUUUGGAUCCACUGCAUAUUACCAUGUGAAGGAGUCAAAGUUAGAUCCGAGGGCAAAGAAAGCUCUCUUUAUGGGAAUCACUUCUGGAGUGAAGGGAUUUCGUCUUUGGUGCUUAAGCACAAAGAAAAUAAUCUGUAGCAGAGAUGUUACCUUUGAUGAAUCUGCCACAUUGAAAAAGGUAGCAGAUAAAGAUAUUCAGACAAGCAAUACUCCACAGCAGGUGGAGUGUACUCCAAAACAGGUAGAGUUUGAGCAGAUGGGGAUUUGCCCAGUUAAUAAGUCUAAUUCUCCAGCCACAAUGGAGGAAUUAGAGGCUGAAGAGGUUCUGACCCAAGAACCACUAAGUACACCAGAACCAGUUGCAGUUGCAAGGCCACGGAGAGAAAUUCGUAAACCUGCUCGAUUUACUGAUAUGGUGGCCUACGCCCUUCCCGUUGUUGAUGAUAUUCCUAUCACUUAUCAAGAAGCAAUGCAAAGCUUAGAAAGUGACAAAUGGAAAAGUGCCAUGGAUGAAGAAAUACAGUCUCUCCUGAAGAAUAAUACUUGGGAAUUGGCGCAAUUACCGAAAGGUAAAAGGGCAAUCAGAUGCAAGUGGGUAUUCGCAAAGAAAGAUGGAUCUCCUAGCAAGAAGGAUAUUCGCUACAAGGCAAGAUUGGUAGCUAAAGGCUACGCUCAGAAGGAGGGAAUUGACUACAAUGAUGUAUUUUCCCCUGUUGUGAAGCAUUCCUCCAUUAGAAUUUUGUUGGCCUUGGUAACACAGUUGAAUUUGGAGCUAGCUCAACUUGAUGUUAAGACGGCUUUCUUGCAUGGUGAGUUAGAAGAGGAGAUCUAUAUGACUCAGCCCGAAGGAUACACAGAUGCUGGUGGUAGAAAUUGGGUUUGUAAGCUGAACAAAUCGCUAUAUGGAUUGAAGCAAUCCCCGAGGCAGUGGUACAAGCGAUUUGAUAGCUUUAUGAGAAGGCAGAAGUAUACAAGAAGCAAAUAUGACAAUUGUGUAUAUUUGCAGAAGCUGCAUGACGGAUCUUUCAUUUAUCUACUCUUGUAUGUUGAUGAUAUGUUAAUCGCUUCGAAGAGCCAAAAUGAGAUAGAUAAGCUGAAGGCUCAGUUGAAUCAAGAGUUCGAGAUGAAAGAUCUAGGUGAGGCCAAGAAGAUUCUCGGCAUGGAGAUAAGUAGAGAUAGACCGAGAGGCAAGCUCUGUUUAAAUCAGAAGCAAUAUCUGAAAAAGGUAUUACAAUGUUUUGGUGUAAAUGAAAACACAAAACAUGUAAGUACCCCACUUGCUUCUCAUUUGAAACUUAGUGCUCAAUUAUCUCCAAAGACUGAAGAUGAAAGAGAAUAUAUGGCGAAAGUCCCAUAUGAUAAUGCAGUUGGGAGUUUGAUGUAUGCGAUGGUGUGUACGAGGCCUGACAUUUCACAAGCUGUUGGAGUUGUGAGCAGGUAUAUGCAUGAUCCUGGAAAAGGACAUUGGCAAGCUGUGAAAUGGAUUCUACGGUAUCUUCGAAAAACCGUAGAUGUUGGUUUAAUUUUUGAACAGGAUGAAGCACUUGGUCAGUUUGUAGUUGGAUAUGUUGAUUCCGACUUUGCUGGUGAUUUAGAUAAACGUCGUUCAACUACGGGGUAUCUGUUUACUCUUGCGAAAGCCCCAGUGAGUUGGAAGUCUACCUUACAGUCUACAGUAGCUGUGUCUACUACAGAGGCAGAAUAUAUGGCAGUUACAGAAGCUGUUAAGGAGGCUAUUUGGCUUAAUGGAUUAUUGAAAGACUUGGGAGUUGUUCAAAGUCACAUUAGUCUAUAUUGUGACAGUCAGAGUGCUAUUCAUUUAGCGAAAAAUCAAGUCUAUCAUUCAAGAACCAAGCAUAUCGACGUAAGAUAUCACUUUGUGCGGGAAGUCUUUGAAAAAGGAAAAAUUCUACUUCAGAAGAUUCCGACAGCAGAUAAUCCCGCAGAUAUGAUGACCAAAGUGGUAACAACAAUCAAGUUUAAUCAUUGUUUGAACUUGAUUAACAUCUUGAGAAUUUGAGCACCUACAGGUGUAUGGCGCUCGAGAGCGCAUUUAGAGGCACUACAAAAGAUAACUUUAUCGAAUUUGGGGAGUUGAAGGAAGUGUGUGAAGAUGUGAUUAUCCUAAUCAAAUCUUCAAGGUGGAGAUUGUUGAAAGGUCAACAAAGGUAGGAAGCAACUUGUUAAAAAGGUUGAGCAAGUUGCACCGAAUGUUGAAAAGUUGAAUGGGAUAAUUGCAAUUUUGGUCCCUAAUUUUUUAGGCCAUUUGCAAGUUAGUCCCUGAACUUCAACUAUAAAUAGGCCUUUUCAUUUUUCAUUUCAACCAUCCCAACCAAUCUUUCUCUCUUAGUUUUCUCUCUUCUCCCAUUUGAGAAUUCUUAAGGAAUUCUAUUUGUUUGUAAUACUUUGAAGAUAGUAAAGUUAUCAUCUGGUGUUAGUGCCCGAGGACGUAGGUAUAAUUUACCGAACCUCGUUAAAACUCUUGUGUUCUUUCUUGUCCUAUUUUUCUUUCAAUAUUUGAGGGUAUAAUAGUAGUAUUUAAUUGUGCUAUUAAAUUACUAUAGAAGGGAUAUUCUAUCUAAGGAAAGACUUGGUAUUUAAGAGAUCCAUGUGAUCCACCUCUCUUUCCUGGGAAUUGAACUUUGUGUGAUUUUUUAGUACAAUAAUUUACACGCUUCCGACCCUAUUGGAACAACACAUGGAAAAGGGUUAUUCUUACUUGUUUCAAACAAAAGUUGUUCUAUGGUAAUGCUCCGUUUGGUAGAACUUAUUCUGAAUAAUGACUCUUUCGAAAAAAUACAAUUCUACUAAAUAGAAAUUGUUCUAAGCAUAGUUAUUCGUAAAACACCAUUAUUUUGAACAAAAGGUGCUCUGAACUUAAUCGAAUAUCACACGCAAGUAUAUGUAUCGUUACAAGUGGUAUAAAAUAUCGAUCCCAAAGAGAAUUUUGACUAAUUAGAAUGCCAAUCAUCAAAAUUUACUUUUAAUACCUAUCCAAAUAAAUCAAUGACUAAAUUAAAUACAAGAAAAUUCUAGAGUUCAAAGACAAGGGAAAUUCAAAUAGGCAUUACUGUUCUACAUCAAAAUACCAUUGGGGUGGCAUGACCCCAAUUUGUCUAAUAACAAUAAUGUAUCGAUUUCUCUGAGGGGUCGAGUGAGCACUUUAUUCCAAAAUCUUCUGAAACUUGUAGUUUGGACAAUGAAUCAGCUACCUUGUUUCUGUCCCUCUAAUUUCCAUAAUAUGUUCGUGGUGGCUUGAAAAGUGAAUAACAACUAUUUAAAUUUGAGAUUCAACUAUUAGAUUAAACUAGUUCUUUUUGUACAAAGGAAGGCUCAACUAGCCAUAAUGCAAAAAAAAAAAAACAUUAGAGCGUAGGAGCUAAAAGUUCCUACUAUCUUCACUUAGCACGUCAAUUACUCUUAGAAUAGAAACCAGCAAAAAGAGCUAAGUUAAAUACAUGGAUCAGAGACUACAGAGUAAGGUAAGUGUUGUUCUGCAAAUCCAAAUAAAAGCGGUUGGCCAGAAAAUAUUGAUCUGAAAGUGUUAGAAGUUGAAGUGAUUCGUUUAUCAAGUGAAGAGGAUGUCAACGAAUUAAUUGCAAAUCUAGAUAAUGUGAGUCCAAUGUCCUUGGCUGUGAUGGUGGCUUUACCUCUAGUGAGGUUUGACCUUUGUCAGGUUGUGAUGAUCAUCGGUGCAGGAGGGCUAGUAGGCAUUUGGAUAAAAGUGACGAUGAAAUUUCAAGUAACAUAAAGGGUGUUAGAUUUUGCUCAUUAGUCCAAGAAAAUGAAAAUGGGGGUAACUGUGUAAAAUAUGGUUGUGGAACGUUCAGAAGGUAGUAAUGAGCUGUGCAAUCGUAGUAGGGAAACAAAGAGUGUUCAUGGGCACAACGAUAAAGAGAGGAGGUACGAGACAGAAAAGAAAAACGAGCAAUCGAGGCUUAUAGCAUAUAAAAGGAUAUCUCAACUCAACCAGUGUGCCUCUGAAAGGCCUGAUCAUUGGUAUUUAUAUGAAAUAAAAUCUACUUUGGCUCAUUUUUCCCAAACAAUCUGCCUCUAUAUUUAUGUAAGUUUCAAUUUGUGAUUGAAAAGAAUUUGGAUGUGUCUUACAAGAACUUGACUCUCCAUUUUGGUCAUCAAGUAAAGAAAGAAGCUCAGCAUUGUUGUUUUCAACUCCCACUCUGUGAAACCCCUUGUUCUAUGCAAUAUUUAAGCCCUUUUAUCCAAGCUUCAACCCAAAACACUGAGCACAAACCCAAGUUUCUCAUGUGCCCAACAUAUAAAAGAAUAGAAAACCAAAAUUUCACAAAUAAAAAUAUAGGAAAGAGAAUUUGAGCAUGAUGUGAAUAUAAAAAUAAUAGUAAUAUGUACAUUUAUAAAUUAAUGUAUAUCAAAAUCUAUAUAAAACUAAAAUUUUAAUUUUAAAAAUAUAGGAAAAAAAUUGAGCAUCAUAUAUAUAUUUAUAAAUUUAGAAUAUUUCUUAUAUAUGUUUUUUUUCUCUAAUGUCGAUUUGGUUUCAUGUUAAAUUCUUAUUUGUGUUUUCUUCACGUUUAUAUCGUCCAUAUAAUUAAAAAAUAAUUAUGGUAAGGAUUAAAUAUUUUGAUGAAGAUGCAUUAGUCAUAAAAUAUUAGCCGUCCACACAAUGAAUUAAUGUGCAAAUAUUAUAUUAGAACAAAAGAGAAUCACGGUAAAAUCAAAUUGGUUAAUGUUAAAAAUAGUAUAUACUAAAAGAAAAUAAACAAAUGGAUGUGCGCAAUUUAAGGAUUUCAAGAGAAAAAUUGAAUGGUGAAGAAUGAUUGUAUUAGAAGGAGUUGUGUUGUAUAAAAGGGUAAGCCAACAUGCAACUCAAAUCAUCUCAAACAAAUCUUCUUCCUCUAAGAGGGGAUAAACAGCCUUAAUUCAUAAAAUUUCAUAAAAUUACAUAAGAGACUUUAAAGCCAACAAAAUGGCUCCAUUGACGAUAAUAGUGGUGUUUUUUCUCUGGGUAGGAUCACUGCUUAUGGUUCAAGGUGGAGAUCCCACCAUUAGUUUCGAGUGGAAGGUCACUUAUGGCACCAUAUCUCCUUUGGGUGUUCCCGUAAAAGGUAUUCUCAUUAACGGGCAAUUCCCUGGGCCAAAUAUGAACUCUACCACCAACAACAAUGUUAUAGUCAAUGUGUUUAACAACCUUGAUGAGCCAUUCCUUUUGACAUGGUAAACAAGAGUACUUUUUUUUCCCUUGAUUAUAUUAGUAAAGAGUUGAGCUUAAUUAUAUAUAUAUAUAUAUGGAAAUGAAUUUUGUUGCAGGAGUGGCGUGCAGCAUAGGAAGAAUCCUUGGCAAGAUGGUGUGCUUGGAACCAACUGUCCUAUCCCCCCCGGGACGAAUUACACCUAUAAAUUCCAGGUGAAGGACCAAAUUGGCAGCUUCAUCUAUUAUCCAGUGACGGCUAUGCAUAAGGCGGUUGGUGGUUUCGGUGGCCUUCGUAUUAACAGUCGUUUACUCAUUCCUGUCCCCUAUGCUGAUCCAGCUGAUGACUAUACUAUCAUAGCAGGAGAUUUUUUCAACAAGGGACACACCACCCUCAAGAAAAUUCUUGAGAGCGGUCGCAACCUUGGUAGAUGUGAUGGUGUCCACAUUAAUGGAAAAGUUGCUAAAGGUGAUGGUAGCGAUGAACCUCUCUUCACCAUGGAAGCAGGCAAAACCUACAAGUAUAGGAUUUGCAAUGCGGGUAUCAAGACAUCUCUGAACGUCAGGUUCCAAGGCCACACCAUGAAAUUGGUUGAGAUGGAAGGUUCCCACACAGUGCAAAAUGACUAUGAAUCCCUUGAUGUUCAUGUUGGACAGUGCUUCGCUGUGCUUGUUACAGCCGACCAAGAACCAAAGGAUUACUUUGUUGUGGCCUCUACCCGUUUUACCAAACGCGAGGUUACAGCAACUGGUGUCAUCCGUUACACCAAUGGCAAGGGCGCACCCUCACCUAAGUUGCCACCACCACCAGUUGGUUGGGCUUGGUCACUCAAUCAAUUCCGUACCUUCCGUUGGAACUUGACUGCCAGCGCUGCUAGGCCUAACCCUCAGGGCUCCUACAAAUAUGGUUCCGUUAACAUUACCCGUACCAUCAAGCUGGCCAACACUGCUCAAAAAGUAGAUGGCAAGCUUCGAUAUGCUAUUAAUGGAGCCUCCUAUGUCGAACCAACCACUCCACUAAAACUUGCAGAAUACUACGGCGUAGCUGACAAGGUUUUCAAGUAUGAUACCAUUCCUGAUGACCCACCAGCUGAGAUCACUAAAGUAACCAUGGAACCUGUUGUCCUCAAUUUGACACACAGAAACUUUAUGGAAAUCAUCUUCGAGAAUCGCGAAACAGCCAUCCAGUCUUAUCACUUGUGUGGCUAUGCCUUCUUUGCUGUGGCGUAAGUAUUUGGUCUUCAAAUUCUUCUAGUAUAUAGUCAUUACUUUCCGUUUAACUAAAUUCUAUAAUCAUUUGUUGCAGUGUCGAGACUGGGCAAUGGAGCCCUGAGAAGAGGAAGAACUACAAUCUUCUUGAUGCCGUGAGCAGACACACCAUACAGGUUUUCCCCAAGUCCUGGGCAGCUAUCCUAUUGUCAUUCGACAACUGUGGAAUGUGGAACAUCAGGUCAGAGGUAUGGGACAGGCAUUACCUUGGGCAACAGCUUUAUGUUAGUGUUGUUUCCCCUAACAAAUCACUCAGGGACGAAUACAACAUGCCUGAGAGUGCACUAGUUUGCGGUGUUGUGGAAAGCAUGCCAAGGCCACCACCAGCUUACACCUAAUUUAAAGCUUAUAUAAACCUGGAACCAGUUCUGCUUCAAAUGCACAUAAAACGACCUUUGUAGUGACUAAUGCUGACUUUUCCAAUAAAUUAAUUUUCUUGAUGUAAUCAUCAUUCAGCUACUAUAUGUCAUUCAAUAAUAAAUUCUUUCAUUUUUUCUAUUUACAGUGUGUGUGAAAUUUAUUUUAUUUUUUUAAAUGUAGUUAUUUUCGUAAAUAAUAUAAAAAAUAUUAAAAUAGGAUAUAAUGAAAAAAUAAUACAAUCACAAUCCAAAUAGAUAAAUAUGUAAAAACUUACAUAAAUUAACGAAUUAUUAACAAAUAAAAGUUAACUAAUGUUUUUAACUGUUGAAUUUAUUAUUUUAUUUAUCAUGCAAGUAAAAUUUCGUAUUAAUCUAAAUACCAUCUUUAUUAAUAUAUAUAUUUAAUGGUUCAAAGUUUUUACAUUAAAAAAAUAUAGUUAAAUAUUUAAAAUUUAAUCAGAAUUGAAAUUAUGAUAGUUAAAUAUUAAUCAUACAAAAAUAAAUAUUAAAUAGAAAAUUUGCAUAGUAUUGGUAAGUUCACGAUAACAAAUGCUCUCUCCAAGAAAUCAAAGGCAAAGCCAGAAAAUUUGUUUAGGGGACCGAAAUUAAAUUGUAAUUUUUUACGAUAGCAAAAGUGCAAUUUCACAAUUUUAAUAGCCUAUGUCUUUAUAAUUUUUAUAAGGUUAAAUCAAAUUUUUAUCAUUUUAAAGGAGCCAACGUACAAUUCUAUUUUUAUUAAUUUAAAAUCUUAAAAUACCUAAAUAAAAAAAUUUCAAUUUUAGCUCACCCUUAAUCCAUCCUACUUCAAAUACAAACAUAAUCAAGCAAAAUAAUCAUUAAUGCAUAGGUAGUGAGAAUAGCCUUUAUAAAAUAUCAAUUAAAAUAAACAUAAUUCAAGUUAGAGUCUUCAAAAUUACAACCCAAAAACAUUAAAAUAAAACAAAUUUCACUUAGCAGAUAGCUUCUGAAACUGAGGGUUGCAAAUUCUUUGAUGAGAAUUGGAAUCCCAAUAUUGGGGUGGUAAAUUAUUUCAUCCCCACAUGACAACUGAAACCCUAAGUUUAUGGUGAUUCUGGCACAGAAAAAUCAUCAUACUAAGAAAAGAAAAAACAUGAUACUAAUUGCAGUAGUGUCACCUGUAGUGCCAAGUCCUUUAUACCACUCCCCCUUUUAGUUCAAGAGAUUUUCCAAACCCCAACUGAAGCAGCUUGGCCAGGAGAUCAUUCCACAAUGCUUUGACUCGUCGAACAUUGGCUUGAAGUUGUUGAAUGACCUUUUUCUUGGGAGGCAAUCUCAGCAUCAAGAUGUUGGAGAUGAAAUGUCUUCCUUUGUGCCAACUCCAACAGGCUGGGCCACAACAUCAGGAACUGCUUCAGGGAGUGCAACCUGGUGUUUCCCUUCAAGCCACUUGUAUGAAUACUUCAACUCUAUAGGCUUCCUUUCAUAUUUUUCAGUAGCCAAUACAAUUUCAUGAUUUUGAUUAUAAAGAAUCUGAAAAAUUAAGUGAAUGGAAAGAAAGACAUAACAUGGGGUAAACAAAAUUAGUAUGUUUGAUGAUUUCCUGAAAAAUAAGCUCUCCCAAGUCAAAUUGAAUCACAUCACAAAUCUUCCUAAGCAGAGUAACAAUCUUCUUUGUAACUGUAUUCCUUUGGCUAUUAGGAAUCCAGUUUCUGGUUGCAAUAGCAAACAGGCCAGCAUAAGUGGGCUCUAGAGUAGAAGCUUGUGGGCAAGGUAAGGUGAACUCCAUUGGUGAUGGUUUUGACCAUUAUACCAUAAAAUUCAUCUAGCUUGACAUCUAUCAAGCAUGAGUGAAGCAAUAGCUCCCAAAUUUGUGUAGGGCCAAAAUUAUACCAUCUUCCUCGAAUAUAAGCUUUGUGGAAGAGUUUGCUCGAAGACUUAUUGACAGACUUGAGAAGAUUGACAUAAAACCCAUAAACCCCCUCCUCGGCAUAUGGUUUUACAAAAGCAACAAAUUGUAGCAAGUCAUUCUACUCAAUGAAGUGCUUCUUUGUACACAGCAAAUAUCUGUUGGUGCAGACGGUUGACAAAAUUGUUUGCUCUUUCUUUUGCAGUAGAGUAUCUUCUUCUUUGGAAGAGGGAACAGUAGUAAAUUUCUUGGGAGAAUCUUACCUUGCAGGAGUGGACUGAGGGAUGUUUUGUCUCCUGGUUCUGUUAUGAACCGAAACAGAAAGCAGAAAAUAGAAAAGGGAAGAAGAAAACAGAAAGUUGGUCUAUUCAUUAAUUGUUUUAGUGAUGCACACUAUUUUGUGAUGGUUUUUCUUAUUAAUGCAUUAUAUGAUUUUAAUAAUCAACACAGUAAUUAGAAUUAAAACAUGGCAGCAAUGAAAUUGUUGAAAGCUUGCGGAUGACUUGAAUACAAACAAAUGGUCCAAAAUAUUUUAUUUCAUUAAAUACAUUUGGAACUCAAGCUUUUCUCACCCUCUCUCUCCCCAUACACCAGAAUUGGCUACAGAUUUAUAAGCUUAUUUAAAUUAACUGCUGAAAGGUGGAGGCCUUGGCAUGCCUUGCACGAUGCCGCAAGUCAAUACACCUUCCGGCAAGUUGUACUCAUCCUUGAGGGAUCGGUUAGGGGAAAUAACACUAGCAUAAAGCUGUUGCCCAAGGUAAUGCCUGUCCCAUAUCUCCGACCUCAGGUUCCACAUCCCGCAGUUGUCGAAUGUCAAUAGGAUUGCUGACCAGGAGUUGGGGAAUACCUGUAUGGUGUGUCUGCUCACGGCGUCGAGAAGAUUGUAGUUCAUCCUCUUCUCAGGGCUCCAUUUCCCAAUGUCCAUGCUGCAACAAAUCAUUAUACAACUUAUUACUUCAACUCAGGCAAUAAAAUCACCACAUGUAUUUGUUACGUUAGAAGCUAUACUUACCCCACGGCAAAGAAUGAGUAGCCAGACAAGUGGUAAGACUGAAUGGCGGUCUCGGGAUUCUCGAAGAUGAUUUCCACAAAGUUUCUGUGUGUCAUGUUGAGGACAAUAGGUGCCAAAGUUACCUUAGUGUUGUCACUUGGUGGCUCAUCGGGAAUGGUAUCAUACUUGAAAACCUUGUCGGCUACGCCGUAGUAUUCUGCAAGUUUUAGUGGAGUGGUUGGUUCGACAUAGGAGGCUCCAUUAAGAGCAUAUCGGAGCUUGCCAUCUACUCUUUGUGCAGUGUUGGCAAGCUUGAUGGUGCGGGUAAUGUUAAUGGAACCAUAUUUGUAGGAGCCCUGAGGGUUAGGCCUAGCAGCGUUAGAAGUCAAGUUCCAACGGAAGGUACGGAAUUGAUUGAGUGACCAAGCCCAACCAACAGGUGGUGGUGGCAACUCGGAUGAGGCAGCUCCCUUGCCAUUCUUGUAACGGAUGAUGCCGGUUGCUGUAACCUCACGUCUGGUAAAACGGGUAGAGGCCACCACAUAGUAAUCCCUUGGUUCCUGGUUGGCAGUAACAAGCACACUGAAGCACUGUCCAACAUGCACAUCAAGGGAGUCAUAGUCAUUCUGCAUUGUGUGGGAACCCUCCAUCUCAACCAAUUUCAUGGUGUGGCCCUGGAACCUGACGUUCAGAGAUGUCUUGAUACCCGUAUUGCAAAUCCUGUACUUGUACGUUUUGCCUGCCUCCAUCGUAAACAGAGGUUCAUCCUUCCCAUCACCUUUCGCAACUUUCCCAUUAAGGUGGACACCGUCACAUCUCCCAAGGUUGCGACCGCUAUCAAGAAUCUUCUUGAGGCUGGUGUGUCCCUUGUUGAAAAAGUCUCCCACUAAGAGAGUAUAGUCAUCAGCCGGAUCAGCGUAGGGAACAGGGAUGAGUAGACGGCUGUUAACACGGAGGCCACCGAAACCACCAACCGCCUUGUGCAUAGCCGUCACCGGAUAGUACAUGUAGCUGCCAAUCUGAUCCUUCACCUGGAAUUUAUAGGUGUAAUUCUUCCCAGGGGGGAUAGGACAGUUGGUUCCCAGAACACCAUCUUGCCAAGAGUUCUUCCUAUGCUGCACGCCGUCCCUGCAACAAAUCCCAUUUCCACAGAUAAUUAGCUCGACUCUUCACUAGCAUAAUCAUAUUAAUGUAAAAAAGAAACUACUCUUGGUAGUCGCUUACCAUGUUACAAGGAAUGGCUCAUCAAGGUUAUUGAACACAUUGACCACGAUAUUGUUGUUGGUGGUAGAGUUAAGAUUUGGUCCCGGGAAUUGCCCGUUAAUAAGAAUACCCUUUACUGGCACUCCCAAGGGAGCAAUGGUGCCAUAGGUGACGUUCCAUUCGAAAAAAAGGGUGGGAUCUCCGCCCUGGACCAUAAGCAUUGAUCCUGCCAAGAGAAAUAGCAUCGAUAUUAACAUUAAUCGAGCCAUCUCUUACCCUUUUUUUUCGCCCGACAGUAAUUUAUUAAUUAUCCCCUUCUAGAGGAAGAGGAAGAUGGUUU
rnacentral:lncRNA from 1 species